rnacentral:rRNA from 1 species
UCUGGCGGCAGUAGCGCGGUGGUCCCACCUGACCCCAUGCCGAACUCAGAAGUGAAACGCCGUAGCGCCGAUGGUAGUGUGGGGUCUCCCCAUGUGAGAGUAGGGAACUGCCAGGC